GACGAACGCUGGCGGCGUGCUUAACACAUGCAAGUCGAACGAAGAGCGAUGGAAGCUUGCUUCUAUCAAUCUUAGUGGCGAACGGGUGAGUAACGCGUAAUCAACCUUCCCUUCAGAGGGGGACACCAGUAGGAAACGACUGCUAAUACCACAUACGAUCUAAUCUCGGCAUCGAGGAUAGAUGAUAGGUGGCCUCUACAUGUAAGCUAUCACUGAAGGUGGUGAUUGGGUCUGAUUAGUUCGUUGGAGGGGUCACGUCCCACCAAGGCGAUGAUCAGUAGCCGGUCUGAGAGGAUGAACGGCCAGAUUGAGACGGAGACACGGCCCAGACUCCUACGGGAGGCAGCAGUGGGGCAUCUUGCGCAAUGGACGGAGGUCUGAGGGAGCAAGGCCGCGUGAGGAAUGACGGCCUUCGGGUUGUAGAGCUCUGUUAAUCGGGACGAAAGGCCUUCUUGCGAAUAGGGAGAGGGAUUGACGGUACCGGAAUAGAAAGCAACGGCUAACUACGUG
rnacentral:rRNA from 1 species